rnacentral:rRNA from 1 species
GACGAACGCUGGCGGCGUGCUUAACACAUGCAAGUCGAACGGUAAGGCUCCAGCUUGCUGGGGUACACGAGUGGCGAAAGGGUGAGUAACACGUGGGUGACCUGCCCUGCACUUCGGGAUAAGCCUGGGAAACUGGGUCUAAUACCGGAUAGGACCAUGGUGUGGAUACUGUGGUGGACAGUUUUUUCGGUGUGGGAUGGGCCCGCGGCCUAUCAGCUUGUUGGUGGGGGAAUGGCCUACCAACGCGGCGACGGGUAGCCGGCCUGAGAGGGUGGACGGCCACAUUGGGACUGAGACACGGCCCAGACUCCUACGGGAGGCAGCAGUGGGGAAUAUUGCACAAUGGGCGGAAGCCUGAUGCAGCGACGCCGCGUGGGGGAUGACGGCCUUCGGGUUGUAAACUCCUUUCACCAUCGACGAAGGGUUUCUGACGGUAGAUGGAGAAGAAGCACCGGCUAACUACGU